CUUCAGCAACUUCUCAGUUGUGGAAUAAUAGUGUGUUAAUGAAUCAAACUGUAAUUGCUCCAGGUAGUGCUCUACUCUAUAAAAUUCUGCUGAGAGCGCUGUUAAAUUAUUUCCUUAUUAACAUUUUUCUCCCUUGUAAAAAUAAAAUUUAUUUCAGAUGAUUCUGUUACCCAGUAAUACUGCAAGGACUGGCACUGUCCUGUCAUUUUUAAUUAUGUCUCUAUCAACAUUUUGGAUGAAAACCUGAAGCCUGCUUUCCCAGAAAGGAAAUUCAAUUGUGGGAUAAACAACAACAACAAAAAAAGCCACUUUUUCUCCCCUCCAUUUAAUCACUAUGUCUUUGCUUGAGUUCCUGGAUCUGAUCAUCACUAGAUUUCUAUUUUAUCCUUCUGUUUCUUCUCAGUGUCCUUGGCUAGUUCCUCCUCAUAUUCUUGACAUUUAAAAAUUGGAGUGGCCCAGAGCUUAAUUCCUGAACACUUUUCUCUCUUUUAGGAACAUUAAUACCUUUGAUGGUAUAAUCCAAUUGCUUUGAGUAUCACCUUUAAACGAAUAAAUGCAGAUGUGUACUUUAAGCCCAUUCCUCCUCCCUGGAUUCUACACACACUAUACAAUUACCCACUUUUAGUGAUUUUGUACUGUGUCAACUUGGCUAAGCUGGGGUAUGAUUUCCCCUAAUUCUUUUCCCUGUGCACUUCCAAGUUAUGGUUGAUCACACAAAAAAAUUGAGAUUUGGAAACAAAGCAGGGGUCAUUAAGCAUGGAAUGUUGAUGCAGGGUGCCAGGGGCUGCUGCAGUUCACACACAUUUUCACUAAUCUCCUGGCUCGCCUUGCUAAUGAGGAAGGUCACAGUAUUCAGUCUCUCUGGCUGCCAUUGCAUGUUCUCGUUCAGCUUCUCUGGUUUGGGGCCAAGUACAUUGUGUGUCUGUGGCAACACAAUUCGGCAUCUUCAGCAGGCCAGUCCUCCUCAUUGAGAACAGAGGGAAUAAGAGAAAAAGUUCCACUUUGCCAUGGUAGGUUAUUCCGUAUUGUUUUUGUGGAUUCAUUUUCUAUUGCUAACUCGGUGUUCACUAUCUUUCUUCUUUCCAGCUGCCAGUCCUGCUGUCUGAGAGUGAUUCCAAGAUCACCACCAGAGGCAAAUAAACUGCCAUAGCCAUCUCAACCUUCAGCAACAACCACCUUGAUCAGUCAGCAGCCAUCAAUAUCAAGCCAAGACUCUCUAGCAGCAAAAAGAUUAUGCCUCACUGAAGGCUCAGAUGAUCCUCAGCGUUUCUUGCAAUAAUUAAGCCCACCUUAAUAACGGAAUGUUGCUGUUGUUGGUGAAGAAAAGCCAAACUCAGAAAAUAUUUGAAGAGUUUUAUUCUGAGACAAAUUUGAGGAUCAUGUCCCUUGAUACAGCCUCAGGAGGUCCUGAGAACAUGUGCCCAAGGUGGUUGUGCUACAGGUUGGUUCUAUACAUGUUACAGAGACAGAAGUUACAGGCAAAGACAUAAAUCAAUGCAUGUAAAAUAUACAUUGGUUUGGUCAGGAAAGGUGGGACAUCUUGAGUAGUGGGGCUCCCAGCCAGGUCAUGAGUGAAUUAAAAGAUUUUCUGGCCAACAAUUGGUUGAAAGAGUUAAGCUAUACGUGAAUAAUUGAAGUCAGUAUAAAUACUUGAGUCAAGAUAAGGCAGGUUCUGGAAGUCAAGAUUCUUGUUAUUUAGAUGAAGCCUCCAGGUAGCAGGCUUUGGAUCAAAUAGAUAAUUAAUGUCUCUUAUCAGGCCUAAAAAUGUGUCAGACUCUCUGGAAAAGGUAGUUCUGGAUAGAAUAUUAAAUUGAUAAGGAAUGAAGAUUCUCUACAGAAUGUAAACUUCUCCUUCAAGAGACAGCUUUACAGGGCCAUUUCAAAAUAUGCAAAAGAAAAUAUACAUGGGGAUAAAAUAUUCUGAUUUCCUUCAGGGCUACCAUCUGUCAUGUGAUGCUAUACUAAACUCGGGUUGGAAUUUGCCAUCAUCUAAUUGCUACAAAGAGUCUGUUUUGUCAGUCUUAUGAUCUCUAUUUUAAUGUUAAUACUGGUCAGCUGUGCCUAAAUUCCAAAAGGAGGAGAGUAUAAGAAGAUAUAUACAACCUCUCUUCCUGUCAUGGCCUGAACUAGUUUUUAGGUUUUCUUUCAGAUCCCCUUGGCCAAGAGGGAGGAUCCAUUCAGUCAGUCGGGGGGCUUAGAAUUUUAUUUUUAUUUUACAGCUAUUAUAUCCAGUCUAUGUCUACUAGGGGAGAAAAAGCCUUCAAGUAAGAUAAAAGUGAGACAAAACAAAACAUUCACUCCACUUAAUGAGGUAUCAGACAGCAGGAAAAGUAUCCUUGUAAUUUGGGGAGGCAUUUCUAGAUGGGAGGUUAAAUUGAUAAUGGGAAAGAGAUGCUAAAGCAACAUAUUGAUUGCCUCUGAUGUGGUCAGACAAGUGUUUAUCUGUGUUUUAUUUUUCCUUAGCAACUCUGUGUGGUCAGCUUUUUCUAUCACCAUUGUUUACUUGAAUAAAUUAAAGAUAAU